rnacentral:rRNA from 1 species
UAAGGAAUAUUGGUCAAUGGACGGAAGUCUGAACCAGCCAUGCCGCGUGCAGGAAGACGGCCCUACGGGUUGUAAACUGCUUUUGUACCGGAAUAAACCUCUUUACGAGUAGAGAGCUGAAUGUACGGUAAGAAUAAGGAUCGGCUAACUCCGUGCCAGCAGCCGCGGUAAUACGGAGGAUCCAAGCGUUAUCCGGAUUUAUUGGGUUUAAAGGGUGCGUAGGCGGCCUGUUAAGUCAGAGGUGAAAGGCGGUAGCUUAACUAUCGGAGUGCCUUUGAUACUGACGGGCUUGAAUGCAGCUGAGGUAGGCGGAAUGUGACAAGUAGCGGUGAAAUGCAUAGAUAUGUCACAGAACACCAAUUGCGAAGGCAGCUUACUAAAGUGCGAUUGACGCUGAGGCACGAAAGCGUGGGGAUCAAACAGGAUUAGAUACCCCCGUAGUCC